rnacentral:misc_RNA from 1 species
AAGUCGUAACAAGGUCUCCGUUGGUGAACCAGCGGAGGGAUCAUUACUGAGUGUAAAAACUCCCAAACCCAUUGUGAACAUACCACUGUUGCUUCGGCGGAUACGCCCCGGGCGCGCUCUUCACAGGGCGUGCCCCGGAACCAGGCGCCCGCCGGGGGACCGAAACUCUUGUUUUCUUAGGAUCUCUGAGUGUGAUUAUUAAAUAAAUCAAAACUUUCAACAACGGAUCUCUUGGCUCUA